ACUGUUUGUUUGUUUUACUCAAUUUGCCACCUGUUUCAUCUAACGAGGACGUGAGUUUUUUAAAUUAUACUUUACCAUGUGCACAGGGUUUAAUACAUAACUUUUUCGCACCAUAAGCUUAACCAAGGUCCACCGAAUCGCCGACUUUGGGAACUCAGCUUGACUCAGACCAACACCAGGAAACAACCAAGGUGACAGUUUAAUGAAACGGCCAUGUUUAAGAGCCGUUUCUACUGCACGGAGUUUUGGUUAGUUCAGUGCGUCGUGUUCAUCUUUUGUUUCAUCCUGCCAGUUGUUAGUACUAUGCUUUCGUGUGUGCUUGAUACCAUUACUGACCGAGAGCGCUGCCUUGAGGAAAAGAUGGUCUAUCAUAAUGAUAUCUAUGUAUUUUUGUGACUGAUUGACAUGCUGAGCCUUCUCAUUAAGCGAAAUCCACUAAACGUUAGGCGCAUGGCAGUUCCGACGCGAUGCGUUUUGGCGUUGCAGUCGGAUAGGUCUUUGACGUCACACCUAACACUGCUAACUGACUGCAAGCAUUCAUUAACACAUUCGUCUCCAGUUCUCAACCGUGAAUCUGGAAGUACAAGGACAUACCUGAGUGUGGAAGAGGCACAUAUCUGACUGACAUACUCUGAUGAUAAAGGUUGAUUGGAUGGAAGGUUGCCGCGCAUUCUGGGGAGGAUAAAAGGGGCCGGACAGACCACGGGGGCAUCAUUCGCGCUCUGACAGCCUGUCGACAAUGUAUAAAUAAAUAGAAUUUUAUUUUUUUAAUAAUAAAUGAUUUUUUAGUU